AGUGAACGCUGGCGGUAGGCCUAACACAUGCAAGUCGAACCGCAGCACAGUAAGAGCUUGCUCUUACGGGUGGCGAGUGGCGGACGGGUGAGGAAUACAUCGGAAUCUACUUUUUCGUGGGGGAUAACGUAGGGAAACUUACGCUAAUACCGCAUACGACCUACGGGUGAAAGCAGGGGAUCUUCGGACCUUGCGCGAUUGAAUGAGCCGAUGUCGGAUUAGCUAGUUGGCGGGGUAAAGGCCCACCAAGGCGACGAUCCGUAGCUGGUCUGAGAGGAUGAUCAGCCACACUGGAACUGAGACACGGUCCAGACUCCUGCGGGAGGCAGCAGUGGGGAAUAUUGGACAAUGGGCGCAAGCCUGAUCCAGCCAUACCGCGUGGGUGAAGAAGGCCUUCGGGUUGUAAAGCCCUUUUGUUGGGAAAGAAAAGCAGCAGGUUAAUACCCCGCUGUUCUGACGGUACCCAAAGAAUAAGCACCGGCUAACUUCGUG
rnacentral:rRNA from 1 species